UAACCUUCUUUAGAGAUGUCAGCCCAACCCGUGGCCCGCGGGUUUGACCCAUUUAAGCCCAUCACGGGGCGGGUCUGGACAAAUAAAUAGUUGUCCAUGUAUUAGCGGGUUUCGCGGGUUGAACCCAAGCGGUUUGCGGGUGGGUUGGGUAUAACCCGUCACGGGUUAGCGGGUUAGCGGGUUGACCGCAAAUGAAAAUAGCAGUUCUUCAUCUUCUCGCACUCGGUGCAUCAAACCGAUUGCAAUUAGGGAUAGCUUUCCCUGAAUUUCCUAUUUGAGCUACUGCAUGUACUGGAGAGAGAGCAAGAGUUACGGAAAGGUCGGUGAUUGCAAGCCUUUAGUGGAGAUUUUUGUUCUGUUCAUCACUUUGAACGAGACAAAUUGUUACAAAUUAUCUUUAUCUUCUUUGAUUCACAUGUGUCGAAGAGUUUAUACAAGCCUAUGAUGGAGCAAUUCAGGAAAAUGGCUAGGUUCUUAGAAGCUUAAAUGCGCUUAUGGUAUUUCAAGACGAUAAAUUGGGAGGUUCUUGGAAGACUGUGUUAAGUUUCACACACACUACCUGUUCUGUUACUUCCUUGACGUGAUCGAGGCAAUAGAGGCAGCUGGGAGAUUUCUUGUCUUGACUCUUGUGAGACAGAGAGAAGGAGAGUUGUGUUUUCUAGAAAGUACGAAAGAGAGUGGGAUGAUCUUAAGCUGUUUCAAUGGAAGUUUGAGAAAUAAUAUAUGUUUCCCAAGGAUAUAUGUAGCCGAUUUGAGCAUUCAUGGAAAGAAGACACAUGGAAUCACAUGGAAUCAAGAAGACACAAUUAAUCUAGUGAAGGUUAGAGAGGAAUAUAUCGAAAAAAAUAGGAGGACUAUAAUCUUCCAAGUUUCAAGGAGGCUUUCAGUCUUAAAAAGAACACAAGCAAGAACCCAAAAACUUCAUUUGCUGAGAGAAAUAUAGUUCACGGGGGUGCUUUGUUCUUUGUUCAUGUUUGUUGCAAUUUGUCAACAAGUUUAUAAACACAUUACUUACUGUUCUUUGUUCAUGUUUGUUGCAAUUUGUCAGCUUUUUUUUGAUGUGUUGAAUCAAAUAUUAACAACAGAAAUGCAGCAAAACCUGCAUUGCAAAGAACAUCAACAGUUAAGUGGAGCAGACCCGCGGGUCAACCCGCCAAAAACGUGAAUGAAGCGGGGCGGGCUUGGACAAACAUUCUCAGGCCGCAACCCGCCACGGGCCAACCCGUGCGGUCUGAUAUGUUAGAUGAACCCGCCGCGGGACUGUCCAGCUGGACGCGGGUCAACCCGUCUGACAAAUCUAACCUUCUUUAUUUGUAUAUACUAGGUAGAGACUUGCGCAGAGUGAGAUUAAUAUUAUAUUUACAAAAAAAUAUCUUUCUUUAAUAAUAUUUUCUAAAUUUACAAUAUAAAACUAUAAAUAUUAAAACUAAAUUACAUGGAAUAAUAUGUAAAACUAUAAAUAUUAAAACUAAAUUACAUGGAAUAAUAUGUAAAACGAUCAAAUAUGAUAUAGGCUAAUGAUUGGGAUGAAAUGCAUAUAUAGGCUGAUGUUUAUAUAGAACCAAUGGUGUCGAAAAAAUAAAUAUAUAUAUAUA